rnacentral:ribozyme from 1 species
UGAGCAAGAAAAAAAAAAAAAAAAAAAAAAAAA